rnacentral:rRNA from 1 species
AAUAUUGGACAAUGGAGCGCAACUCUGAUCCAGCCAUGCCGCGUGCAGGAAUGGACAGCCCUACGGGUUGUAAACUGGCUUUUAUACAGGAAGAAACAUUCCUACGUGUAGGAACUUGACGGUACUGUAAGAAUAAGGAUCGGCUAACUCCGUGCCAGCAGCCGCGGUAAUACGGAGGAUCCAAGCGUUAUCCGGAAUCAUUGGGUUUAAAGGGUCCGUAGGCGGUUUUUUAAGUCAGAGGUGAAAUCCUACAGCUCAACUGUAGAACUGCCUUUGAUACUGAAAGACUUGAGUUAUUGUGAAGUGGUUAGAAUGUGUGGUGUAGCGGUGAAAUGCAUAGAUAUCACACAGAAUACCGAUUGCGAAGGCAGAUCACUAACAAUAUA